rnacentral:rRNA from 1 species
UGGGGAAUUUUGGACAAUGGGCGCAAGCCUGAUCCAGCAAUGCCGCGUGCAGGAAGAAGGCCUUCGGGUUGUAAACUGCUUUUGUACGGAACGAAACGGCUCUGGUUAAUACCUGGGGCUAAUGACGGUACCGUAAGAAUAAGCACCGGCUAACUACGUGCCAGCAGCCGCGGUAAUACGUAGGGUGCAAGCGUUAAUCGGAAUUACUGGGCGUAAAGCGUGCGCAGGCGGUUGUGUAAGACAGGCGUGAAAUCCCCGGGCUCAACCUGGGAAUUGCGCUUGUGACUGCACGGCUGGAGUGCGGCAGAGGGGGAUGGAAUUCCGCGUGUAGCAGUGAAAUGCGUAGAUAUGCGGAGGAACACCGAUGGCGAAGGCAAUCCCCUGGGCCUGCACUGACGCU